GUUCAGCAAUAACAUCACGUGGUCAGGGUGUGAGUGAUGUCUCCCAUUUUAGGUGCGGCGAUUCAUUUCAUUCGAAAUUGUCUUGGAAGACACUACCAACGAACCAAGCCUGAUCUUGGAAAUAUUUGGCAGCUGAGGUGGAUAGGAAAGUUCGACUCAAUAACACUGAUUAUGGAAUAAGCGCGGGGGGAUAUAGCUUGGCAGUAACCUGACUAACAAUAGGAAACUGUUUAUAUAGCACCCUUUGCAGCAUCAUGUUCGUUUUUCUGCGGAGAAUGGUCAUUCUGACCAUGUUAUUGACCACCACAUUGACCCCGACAUCUGGAGAAACAUCAACAGCAGCGUCUGCAACAGCUCUGAUACCGGCGAACGCAUCGGAUUCCGAGGACCUGAUGAAUGCUUUGGAAACCACGGCCGUGGUGGAAAAAACUCCAACAACCCCGGGAAAGCCUCAGCCUCCUGUAGUACGAUACCAACAGAUUGGAAACUGCGUCUUUACCCCGGCUGUGUUGGCCGACCAGCAGCCUGUAAAAGAAUUUCGGAACAACAGAUUUUAUAUUGAAAUCCCAUUAACCACUGUUGGCGCUAUUAUGAUUUUUCUUGUCAACGGAAGGCGCAUGUUCAAAGGUUCAGCCUAUUUCUACAUGUGUGUGCUAGCUUUGGCUGAUUUCAGCUUUGUCAUCUCCAACGCUGUCGGUGUAGGAAUAACGCUAAUCGCAAAAAAUAAACUAUAUUUAAAUAACCACAUAUGUAGCCUUAUGGUGUAUUAUCUUCCCUUUGCAUUCCAAGGGUUCGCCGUCUCUGCCCUUAUGGCGAUGACAAUUGAACGUACGCUUGUCGUUAUGUUUCCCUUUAAAUUUCAAAAUUUCUUUACUGUGAAGAAAGCAGUGGUUUUACUUUCCGUCAUGUUUGUCUGUAGCUUUGCAGCAUUCUGUCCUUUCAUAUGGGCGGUUGGAAGUGGGGUACGACCGACCCAAAGUGGUCCUCUUUAUUUUUGUGGUUUUUAUCUUAGACGGGUAAAUGGCAAGAUUGUGCGCGUUUAUGGGUACGGCAUCGACAUAUCCGACUCCAUAAAAACUUAUGUUUACUUGGUACUGCCAAUGAUUGUGCUGUUGGGUUGUAACAUAGCUAUCGUUGUUGCAAUGACGAAAGCUUUUAAAGCGAAGGUGAAACUCACGGGGGAGGAGAAAGGAGGCCAUGAUGAUGGUCAAUUACGCCACAUCACCAUUCAGGUUCUAUCAGUGUCCAUCUUCUUUGUGUUACUAGCCCUUCCCUAUGCGUGUAUAUUUAAUCCUUUGAGCCCUGGUCUGUUUAAGUGGCUUUAUGAAUCCUGCACGAAGUUUUACAUCUCAUUCUGGCUUAAAGAAAUCGCUAAGUUUUUAUACGAAAUGACCCAUUGUCUUAAUGCGUAUAUGUAUGCCGUUAGUAGCAAGAAAUUCCGGACCGAACUAAUUGAUGCGUUGCAUAUUAGGUCUCGGAAAAAGGACCCAUUAGCGUCAGGCAGUGGAACCCGCCAAACGGCGCUAUCUUCAGCCAGUGCAGGUACGAUUACCCAGUCUUAGAUACCUCGCCCUUGGGUAUGCUGUGAGUCUGAUGUACAUUUAUAUGUUCCACCAUUUUAUUGUAUUGGUCAUGGUCCUCGCCUCUCUUACCUGAUUCAAGUCCCAAUACAUUCACAGUUAUAGCUCUGGAUCAUGUUGUCUCAAUGCAUAUACUCUAGUUUCACCGAUCAAGGACCGUUUUACUUAAUGAAUUUUCACAAAAACGUGCAGAGAUAGUUGUAUUGCCGUAACCGUAGUACCAAAUGGCCAGUAUGUCUUUUCUUAAAAAUGGGUUUUCACAAAGAAGCGCCCAAUUUGCGCAUGACCUUGUAGGUUUCAACGAUGAAGUCAAAUUAUUGAUGUAAAACCCGGUGAAAAUCAGCGAGAUAUUGCACUUUCUCAUGUAAAAUGCUGCAUCAGUAGGUCAUGUAAAAUGUAUGUUAUAGAUAUUCGGCAAUGUGCUGGUACAGCUCGAUCAAGCUAUCUCCGUCAGGGAUCCGACGUAUACCCGUUGGCUUUGAUCAAGCUGCGCCUAAGUAUCGAGCAAUUGCCCGAUCGACUAUGCCAGUAGACGGUCUCCGUGGGUGGAUCGAUCGAUAUAGGGAGGUUAGGAUUUUAAUCGGAGAACGAGAACGAGGUUGCAUUUUGACGACAGAUAUCGCAUUGUCGGUUGUCGAAGGUGCAGUGUACAGUGCGUUCAGAGUCUGGUAGUCGAGUGACAAUAAUUACGGAACAAUCAACUUGACUCGAUGACGCCAAUCAACGAAACACAUCACCUCGUUUUCGUUCUAGUUCUCGGAUCACAUCUUAACCUCUCUAAUGUCACCCACUGCCAGAGUUUGCGAUAUUGUCAGUCAUACAGAAAAAUAACAUUAAAUAAAGAGUAUUAUAGAUACACACAUGUAUCUUCGUCUGGAA